rnacentral:rRNA from 1 species
GAUGAACGCUGGCGGCGUGCCUAAUACAUGCAAGUCGAGCGGAACUGGGGGAGCUUGCUCCUUCCAGUUUAGCGGCGGACGGGUGAGUAACACGUGGGCAACCUGCCCUGCAGAUCGGGAUAACUCCGGGAAACCGGUGCUAAUACCGAAUAGUUUGGCGCCUCUCCUGAGGCGCUACGGAAAGACGGUUUCGGCUGUCACUGCAGGAUGGGCCCGCGGCGCAUUAGCUAGUUGGUGGGGUAACGGCCCACCAAGGCGACGAUGCGUAGCCGACCUGAGAGGGUGACCGGCCACACUGGGACUGAGAAACGGCCCAGACUCCUACGGGAGGCAGCAGUAGGGAAUCUUCCGCAAUGGACGCAAGUCUGACGGAGCAACGCCGCGUGAGUGACGAAGGUUUUCGGAUCGUAAAACUCUGUUGUGAGGGAAGAACACGUACCAACUAACUAUUGGUACCUUGACGGUACCUCGCCAGAAAGCCACGGCUAACUACGUGCCAGCCGCCGCCGUAA